rnacentral:rRNA from 1 species
ACGGGAGGCAGCAGUGGGGAAUAUUGGGCAAUGGGCGCAAGCCUGACCCAGCAACGCCGCGUGAAGGAUGAAGGUCUUCGGAUUGUAAACUUCUUUGAUCAGGGACGAAUAAAUGACGGUACCUGAAGAACAAGUCACGGCUAACUACGUGCCAGCAGCCGCGGUAAUACGUAGGUGACAAGCGUUAUCCGGAUUUACUGGGUGUAAAGGGCGUGUAGGCGGAGCUGCAAGUCAGAUGUGAAAUCCCGGGGCUCAACCCCGGAACUGCAUUUGAAACUGUAGCCCUUGAGUAUCGGAGAGGCAAGCGGAAUUCCUAGUGUAGCGGUGAAAUGCGUAGAUAUUAGGAGGAACACCAGUGGCGAAGGCGGCUUGCUGGACGACAACUGACGCUGAGGCGCGAAAGCGUGGGGAGCAAACAGGAUUAGAUACCCUGGUA